AGAGUUUGAUCAUGGCUCAGGACGAACGCUGACGGUGUGCUUUAGACAUGCAAGUCGAACGAGAAAGCCCUUCGGGGUGAGUACAGUGGCGAACGGGUGAGUAACACGUGGGUAACCUGCCCCUCGCAGGGGGACAACUGGGGGAAACCCCGGCUAAUACCCCGUACGCUUGCCGGGCCGCAUGAUCCGGCAAGGAAAGGUAGCUUCGGCCAUCCGGCGAGGGAUGGGCCCGCGGUCCAUUAGCUAGUUGGUGGGGUGACGGCUCACCAAGGCGACGAUGGAUAGCUGGUCUGAGAGGAUGAUCAGCCACACUGGGACUGAGACACGGCCCAGACUCCUACGGGAGGCAGCAGUCGGGAAUCUUGCGCAAUGGGCGAAAGCCUGACGCAGCAACACCGUGUGGGCGACGAAGGCCUUCGGGUCGUAAAGCCCUGUUGUUGGGGACGAAGGGCGAAGGGUUAAUAGCCCCUAGCUUGACGGUACCCUUCGAGGAAGCCCCGGCUAACUACGUGCCAGCAGCCGCGGUAAUACGUAGGGGGCGAGCGUUGUCCGGAAUUAUUGGGCGUAAAGAGCGUGUAGGCGGUUCGGUAAGUCUGCCGUGAAAACCUGAGGCUCAACCUCGGGCGUGCGGUGGAUACUGCCGGACUAGAGGACGGUAGAGGCGAGUGGAAUUCCCGGUGUAGCGGUGAAAUGCGCAGAUAUCGGGAGGAACACCAGUAGCGAAGGCGGCUCGCUGGGCCGUUCCUGACGCUGAGACGCGAAAGCUAGGGGAGCGAACAGGAUUAGAUACCCCAGUAGUCC
rnacentral:rRNA from 1 species